GGACCUGACUGCUAUCGGAUUGAUACUAAGCCAUGCGAGUCUUUGUAGUAAUACAAGGCAGACGGCUCAGUAACGCGUAGUCAAUCUACCCUAUGGACGAGGAUAACCUCGGGAAACUGAGAAUAAUACUCGAUAGAACAUUAUGCCUGGAAUGGUUUAUGUUCCAAAUGAUUUAUCGCCGUAGGAUGGGACUGCGGCCUAUCAGUUUGUUGGUGAGGUAAUGGCCCACCAAGACUAUUACAGGUACGGGCUCUGAGAGGAGUGGCCCGGAGAUGGGUACUGAGACACGGACCCAGGCCCUAUGGGGCGCAGCAGGCGAGAAAACUUUGCAAUGUGCGAAAGCACGACA
rnacentral:rRNA from 1 species